GUCCCUUCGGGGACAUCCGAUAAAAUUGGAACGAUACAGAGAAGAUUAGCAUGGCCCCUGCGCAAGGAUGACAAGCAUAAAUCAAUAAUUUAGAUUAUAUUGUU